UUGGUCUUCAUGAGAUAUUCUUCUGUCUUUCCAAUCAGUUCCUUUUGGGUCAAUUUCUGCCUCUUAUUAUCCUUGGACAGUGGGAUGUGGACCUGCAGAGAUGGGUGAAGAGGUGUAAAAACAGUGACAACCGAGAGCCUGAAGCUGCUGGGAUGAGUGCCCAACGCAGAAUCCUGUUCCCUGGCAGGCAUAUUUACACUGCGCUCCAGUGCUUGGGCCUGCUCCUUCCAAGAAGACAGGAUGCCAGGAUGGCCGGGACUCCGCUCGCUGGGACACCAUGGUCUUUGUGAGCAGCAGGCCUGAAGUGGUGAAAGCCAUCAUGAA
rnacentral:lncRNA from 1 species